UGGCCUCCUUGUUGUUCUUGGACGACAUUAAACUAUUGACCUAAAGUGAGUUUCACAACUUGCUCGAGCGGUUUAAUCGGUCUUGUCCUCCCUGAUGACAGAGAAGUCCAGUUAUUGGUCGAGACCAAGAGGGCACGUCAUCUCCAUCAAUCAGGGAUCUCCUCUGAGGAAUGCCCCAUGCGCUCUCGUCCAGCCGCCUGACCACGCGUUGCUGGAUGCAUGAGAGGCCGGGCAUGAAGAGCAAUCCCGCCCAAUGAUUAUGCAGGGGGAAAGGUGAUAAUGACAUCCUAUCAAGAGUUAACGGCCAAAAGCAAGUGCAGCCCGCCGUUAAAAGAGGUCAUAAACCUGGACCCGGGCGGCAGGUCUCAUCCUGAAGUCUGCAGUCUCCAUGAUAGUUGGAGGCAGGAGGUGGAAGAUGGAUUUUAUUCUCCGUAUUUUAGUAUGUGCACCCUUUCGGACAGUCCUCCUCCGCGGCGGGAGUGUGAGGGCUUGCUGACAUCGGCCUCCCUCCACUCAUCCGGAGUCCCCUGGCGGCGCAGGGCGCAGACGCAGAGCUCUGCAGGACGCGGAUAUUCAAAGAGCAACGAGGCACGACACUGGUGUUUUGGCCCACAUGCAGAGCCACUUGAAAAGCCACUGUGAGAUCCCCACAGUGGGAUUCUAGGCCAGAACGGACAACUUUGGUCUUUCAGAGAGGAAGAAAACUUUUGAGCAGAUGGCAGGAACAUGUGCAUCAAGGAGUAAACAGCUGAGGGCUAAGACAGACGCGGCCGUGGGUUCAGUGAUGCUGGUCAGUGCAGACGAGGGGUUGCAUCUCUGCGCAGACGGUCACUGCAACGUGAACGUGGCCCCAAGAUCCUGCAAGCAGCGGACGGCGCGAGAAAAGAGUCCAACAAGUACUUGAGGGCCAGGCGCAUGGAGACCAGCGCCCUCCGACCCACCCAGACGCAGGUGAAAAUUUGGUUUCAGAACACAUGCAUGAAACUGAAGAAGCUGCAGUGGGACGGCUGCGCUUCGGCCGACGGGCCGUGGCUGCGCGCACACGAGGAUCCACUGGACAGCUGCCCCUCUGCCGGAGCGACCUCGCCAGUGCACCUGCCCUCCAACUCCUACACGUUAGACAGCAAGGGCGCCAGACUGCAGAUGUUUUGAUUCGCCUUUGCAUCACUCUCACUCAGGCUUUACUUUAUUUGUUUACCUCCAUGGACGCUGCUCGCGAGAAGCGCAAUGGCAGUUUUCUCCAUGCAAGAACGGGCGAUAUCCAUUUGUCAUCGUCCCCAGCUUCAGGCUGGCGCUCUGAUUUGAAUAUUAAAAUCCAAGUCAUUCCAUUGCGCUCCUAUCUACACAAUGUAAACGAAGAUACAAACUAAUUUAAUUGACCGUAUAAGCUGAAGAAAGCUAUCUGUUUAUUUUACAUGUUUUUCUUUGCUAUUUUUUAUUAACUGCCUUUGCUUGAAUAUUUAUUCGAAGAAGCACCUCCAUUUGCUUAAAAAUCUAAAAGUUAUUGUUAAUUCAGAUUUAUUUAUUAUUGCACCACAAACUUAUUUGACUAUUUUUUAAUUAUCCUUCAUAAGCAGAUGCAAAUUGCUGCAAGUUCUGAUUUCAAGUUUAAUUACCCCUCCAUCAGCUUAAAAGAAAAAAGAUUAAAAUAUUGUAAUUGACUGAUAGAUUUAUUGACAACGUAUUGGGAGCAGGAUUGAUCCGUUGUGGUCCAUCUAUUUGAGGCACAAUCCUGGGAGCUUUUGUCAUGAUAUGUAAGUGCGCGUUAAUGGCACGCAAAAACGUCACAAUCGGGAAUUGCUGCGUCCUUUAUUACACGCACAAGAAAAUGAUUAUUUGGCUUGAACACCCAUGCGGGAGAAAAGAAAAUGAAAGGAUGUCUGAGCCGUUUUGCAGAUCAACCAAUAAAGAAUGUGGCCCCAGCAGCUCCAGCAGCUAAACACUGCUCCCCGGUUCACAUUUCAUAUAAAGUAAAUGAUUGUGAACACGCUCCUUAAACACUUUUCUGUAACUGUGUGUUUCUAUCAUGUUAAUGUCUAUUAUAACGCCAGGCAUAUGGCCCAUCAGCCACAUUAAUUCUCUGCAAGGGAACAUUUGUGUUUGGCUUUCAAUUAGCAUAUUUUCCAUGCAUAUGAUUGUUUCUUUAAAAUCAUAAAAAGUGGAAUGAAUAAAGCUGAAAAAAAUA